rnacentral:rRNA from 1 species
AUUGAACGCUGGCGGCAGGCUUAACACACGCAAGUCGAGCGGGGGAAGGUAGCUUGCUACUGGACCUAGCGGCGGACGGGUGAGUAAUGCUUAGGAAUCUGCCUAUUAGUGGGGGACAACAUCUCGAAAGGGAUGCUAAUACCGCAUACGUCCUACGGGAGAAAGCAGGGGAUCUUCGGACCUUGCGCUAAUAGAUGAGCCUAAGUCGGAUUAGCUAGUUGGUGGGGUAAAGGCCUACCAAGGCGACGAUCUGUAGCGGGUCUGAGAGGAUGAUCCGCCACACUGGGAAUGGGACACGGCCCAGAAUCCUACGGGAGGCAGCAGGGGGGAAUAUUGGACAAUGGGGGGAACCCUGAUCCAGCCAUGCCGCGUGUGUGAAGAAGGCCUUAUGGUUGUAAAGCACUUUAAGCGAGGAGGAGGCUACUUUAGUUAAUACCUAGAGAUAGUGGACGUUACUCGCAGAGUAAGCACCGGCUAACUCUGUGCCAGCCGCCGCCGUAACAC